AUACGGAGGGUGCGAGCGUUAAUCGGAAUUACUGGGCGUAAAGCGUACGUAGGCGGUUUGCUAAGUCAGAUGUGAAAGCCCCGGGCUUAACCUGGGAACUGCAUUUGAUACUGGCAGACUAGAGUAUGAUAGAGGGGGGUAGAAUUCCUGGUGUAGCGGUGAAAUGCGUAGAUAUCAGGAGGAAUACCAGUGGCGAAGGCGGCCCCCUGGAUCAAUACUGACGCUUAGGUACGAAAGCGUGGGGAGCGAACAGGAGUAGAAACCCUAGUAGUCC
rnacentral:rRNA from 1 species